UACGUAGGGCGCAAGCGCUAUCCGGAAUUAUUGGGCGUAAAGAGCUCGUAGGCGGUUUGUCGCGUCUGCUGUGAAAGACCGGGGCUCAACUCCGGUUCUGCAGUGGGUACGGGCAGACUAGAGUGCAGUAGGGGAGACUGGAAUUCCUGGUGUAGCGGUGAAAUGCGCAGAUAUCAGGAGGAACACCGAUGGCGAAGGCAGGUCUCUGGGCUGUAACUGACGCUGAGGAGCGAAAGCAUGGGGAGCGAACAGG
rnacentral:rRNA from 1 species